GACGAACGCUGGCGGCGUGCCUAACACAUGCAAGUCGAGCGGAGGAUGCGAGAUGUUUACAUCGGAGAUCCUUAGCGGCGGACGGGUGAGUAACACGUGGGUAACCUGCCUCAGAGUGGGGGAUAGCCUUUCGAAAGGAAGAUUAAUACCGCAUAAGCUUGUAGCAUCGCAUGGUGCAGCAAGAAAGGAGCAAUCCGCUCUGAGAUGGACCCGCGGCGCAUUAGCUAGUUGGUGAGGUAACGGCUCACCAAGGCCACGAUGCGUAGCCGACCUGAGAGGGUGAUCGGCCACAUUGGAACUGAGACACGGUCCAGACUCCUACGGGAGCUG
rnacentral:rRNA from 1 species